GGCCAUGUGCGAUUGAGCGUUGGGAUUGCUGUUGGGGAAUUGUGGUGCGUAAUCGGACGAGGAAGCAAAUUGAAAUGGCGGGAUUUGAACGGGGAUUUUAUCGGGACGAAAGGGAUUCGCGCCGUUACGAUUUUUGCGAGGACCGUGUGCGUUUCCCAUCUUUAAUUGCUCUGAGAACUGAAGCUUUCUACGUUCUAUUUUGGGAAUUAAUUGCGUUGCAACGGAAAUUCACCAAACACUGCCUUUCUCUGACGAAUUGCCACCAUGAAUUCUCUCUCUCUCUCUCUCUCUCUCUCUCUCUAGCCGACAAUUUUUUUGGUUUUAAGUUUAUAUUUAUAUUAUAAUAUUUUUUAUUUCCAACACGUGAUUUUUGCAUGUUAUUUUUCUGUUUUAAAUAGACAUUGAUAAAUAUAAUUAUACUAAAAUAUAUUUAAUAUUUAAUUUGUUGUUAUAUUUUUAAAAAAAAAACUAUUUAAAAAAAUAAUAAAAAUUUUAAGUAAACAAAUAUCAUUGUUUGUGUAAUAAUUGAACCGAAAUUUAGCUCGGGAUUAAUUUUUAAAUUCAAAAAUGUAUAAAAAUCUAUUAAAAUUAAUAAAAUUUAAUUUAAUGUGAAUUAUGAGAAAAAAAAUAGGUUGAUGAUGAAAUUAAAAAUAAUUUUGAAAAAAAAUUGAAAAUUUAGGUUCAGAUAGUGUUUUUGAAAGAAAAAUAGAAAAUUGGAGGGUUAGAACGCAAUUAAAAAAAAUUAUGCCACGUAGGACUACCCAGUCAACAGCCCCGACGAACCGGAGCGCGCAUCGUGGCAAGGCACGCUGACUCGGUGCUACGUGGGAGGCCAUGCUAGCAAUCUGCAUGCCACGCGAUCGGACGGUCCGGAAGCGUUCACACGCGCGUGAACAAUCCAGAUUCGUUCCCUCCUCAAGCGCGAUCGGACGAUCGCGAUUAAACAUGAUGAACGGCUCAAAUUCAUUUUCUCUUUAAACGUGAUCGUACGGUCGAGAUCAAAUCACGAUAAACGGUCAAGAUUUAUUUCUCUGUAAACGCGAUCGGAUGGUCGAGAUCAAACGCCAUGAACGACCCAAAUUGACGUAAGAUGGCUAUAAAUAUCUCGCAUCACACCAAACCCAAACCCUAACCGACAGCCUCCCGUUGGAGAAGAAGAACCAAUCUCCGAAAAAGGGAGCCGAUCACCGCCCGCUGCCGUGCCGGAGCCACCUCCGACCGCCAAAAAAUGUAAAAAUUCUCCUAUUCGCUCAAAAUUUGAUUCUGAGCAUCCUCAUGGCCAAAUCGGAGUAAAAGGAACGGCGGAUAAGCUGGAAACCGCAGGUAAAGUCUGGUGGGCUGCGCCGCCGUAGGUAAAAUCCAAAAUCUCUUUCAAUGAGCCCCUUUCUGAUUCUCGUUUCGUGCAAUUUUUCCACCAUUGUGAUCACCGUUUUAUUUUUUACAAGUUGACCGAAGGAAAACGCCAGCCGUGUAGGUGAGUCGGCGAAGCUGCCGCACUGAAAAAUUUCACCACCGGUAGGUUUUUAUUUUUUUGACUUUUUUCAGCCAACAGAAACUUCCUAACAUGUUUUCUCGUAAGGAUGGAUAUAAAAUAAGCUGAAACCGGUCGAAAACAGUCAGACUGAGGCAAACCGCCUCUGCGGGCGACAGUGUAGUCGUCGGAACACGGUGGUGUUGCAUGUCGAAAUCUUGAAAUUGGUCUGAAAAGGGUUUUUAACACCGAUUUUGGGUUUUUGGUGUAUUUUAGGUACGUAAAGCGUAUUUUAAUCUCCGUAGAAAAAUUUAGAAAACUCGAGUACCGCUAGUAGGCGCAGUAGAAGUUCGGUAUUUCAGACACUGAUUCGGAUAAGAAUCCCUCACAUUAUUCUCUGUUAUGGAAUUGAAUCUUAAUUAUAAAUAAUAAUCUAUUUUGUGUAAUCUAGAAAACUUUGAGAAUUAAUUACAAAUUACUAAUAGAGCCGGAACUAGUUAUUUAUUACUGUUUGUCCUGUUUUAACUUAUUGGUUUAUUUUACGAUUUUAAAUGCAUGAUAAUACACUGAAAUUGGUAAGAUAAUUUAGUUGUGUUUUCCUUAUGCAUAUAUUAUUUGUCUUGCAUGAUUUACGGUUAAUUUGUGAAAUUAAAAAUUAAAAUGUAAACGGAAAAUUGGUUGGUUAAGUGAAUGAGUGAAUAGUUGUCAUAUUAGAUAUCUUGGGAGAUGGUGGAUGGACUGGGUACAUAGAGAACCCUACCAUGAAUGUUGUCUCAUAUCAAACGGGGUAUCGAAGAAUGGUAUCUUUGGCUCUCAUGUCGGACGGGAUAUGGGGAUGACCUGAUUCACCCUCAUACCGAACAGGGUGUUGAGGAAUAGUGCUUUUGGCGCUCAUACCAAACAGGGUAUGGAGACGGCCCGAUUCACCCUCAUACCGGAGGGUAUUGAGGGAUGGUACUUUUGGCACUCAUACUUUUGGCACUCAUACCGGACGGGGUAUGGGGACAGCCAGUUAAUUGACAAGAUUUGAUAUGGGUUCACGCGUAAUAAGACAUCCAUAUGGAUCCACAAGGAUACUGGUAAGCAAAUAAAAAGGAAAAGUCAUUGUCCUAGACAUUUGAAGAUGAAAUUAUGAUGUUGCUUGUGUUAUUGCCUCUAUAUUUUAGUUUUGAAAAUCUCGCAACAGUAAGUAUGCAAUAAAUAGUUUUAUUUAUGAUAAAUGAAUUUACUUAAUUUAAGAGCUCCAUUAGUUAUUUUAUUAUUUUUACCAACCUUCAUUUCUGUAUCGGUGAGUAGUAUGAUAUUCUUACUGAGCUAAUAUAGUUCACUCUUCUAUUAAUUAUUUCAGAUCAAGAGGACCAAGAUUCAGAUCACGAUCAACAAUGGGGUUGUAAAAAGUUUACCACCUGAACUCCUUUCAAAUGCUAGUGAAGAUCGUUCUAGGAUACUUAAUUGUUUACUUUUCAUUUAUUUCUUUGAUUUUUCGCUGCUUCUUUAAGAAUGGUCAUUCCCGUAUCUCUAUUGGGUAUUCUAUAUUAUUGUGUAAUAAAUGUAAACUUUAACUCUAUUAUUUUGCUUCCGCAUUCAAUUUAUGAUUUAUUUACUUAUAAAUUCUGGGCUGCUACAAUUUGUAUAAUUAAAUUGUUGAAUGAAUUAUUAUUAAAUUUUAAAGACAUUAUUAAUAAAAUAAAUAAUUUUUUAUAGAUAAAUUUUUAUGUCAUUUAAUUGUUAAACUUUUUUAAGUAUAUUAUUUAUUAUUUUAAAAGUAUUUUUUAUAUGUAUGUGUAUAUAUUUUGACAUUAUAUGAGUGUAUAUAAAGAUAAAUAAUAGUAAGAUGCUGUAUUAAUUUUGAUCCAUAUAUUUUUUCUCCUAUUGUUCUACUUCAUUUUGUUGAUUUGACUCUUGGUUUAAAUUAAUUUAAAUUAAUUUUAAUAAUAUACUUAUGCACACAUUAAACAAAAUUGAAGAACCUUUAUGAAGUAUAAUUUAUUGUUACAAUAUAAAUGUGAUAUAUGUAAAAUUACAUAAAUUAUUAAGUAUCUCAAUAUAAUAUAAAAUUAAUUCAAUGUCAAUAUUGCUAAUUGAUUAAUUUUAUCUAUAUAUUACAUUUUCAAGCAUACACGGAUAUCGAUAUCAUAUUUUUUAAAAAUUGUCAAAAAUUUUAUAGUAAAAAAUAUGUAAAGGCCCAAAAUUAGGGAAAUGAAAAUAUCGAAUUAUAUCAACCAUAAGUGGAAGUAAUUUGGGAAUUUAAGAUUUACAUUCCUUACAAAAUUAUAAUACCUAAUAUUGUUAUGGGAAUGUCCCUUUUUAAGGAUGUUCAAAUAACGAAAUAAGUAAAUAAAAUAAAAUGUAACUAAAAAUCCUAUAAGGUUAACCUCCGCUGAGCAACUCUGAUAGGAUUCGGGAGGCAGCUUUUAUUCACAACUUUCUUACUGUUCAUGAUUUGAAUCUUACUCUUCCUGAUUUGAAAUAGUUAAAUAAGGGGGAUGAACUACACUAACCCAUUAAGAAUAUCACGCUUAACACCGACACAAAAAACUAAAUGUUGGUAAAAAUUGUUAAACAACCAAUAGAGCCAUUAUUAUUUUUUAAAUAAAUUAGUUUAACUUAAAAACUACUAUUUCAUAUUUAUCCUUAUGAGUUUUCAAAAUCGAUGUAAAAAGAUAAUAACUCAAAUAAUAAUAUUAUUUCAUAUUCAAAUGAGUAAUAACAAUAACUUACCUUCUUACUUGCUUACUAGCACAUCUGGGGGUCCAUAGGGAUCCACUUUAUGCGUGGGACCUAAUAUCUAAGUUAUCAAUUAAUCGGUCGUUCCAAUACCUCGUCCAAUAAUGAGCGUCAAACAUACCACCAUCUUAAUACUCUGUCCAAUAUGAGGGUAAAUUAUAACUCUCAACCCCUUCCGGUACAGGACUUUUCAGCCCCGUUCGGCUAAGGUAAUGCCCAUGGUAGGAUGUUUCCUAUAUAUCAGGUCCGUACACCCUUCCCCAGGGUACCCGAUAAACCUUUCAUACAUGGACUCACACUAUUAACUAAUCACCAAUUACAUACCAACAUCUCAUUUUUAUCAAUCAAUAGUAAAUCAUGCAAAUAUACAAUACGUAAAUUAAGAAAACAUAAUUAGAACAUUUAUUUCACUCAAUCGACAAAUAAGAGAACAGUUAGGCAAUCAAUAACGAGAGGACAAUAAAUCUUUAAAUAAAAGUGCACGAGACAAACUAACAAAUAUAUCAAUAGAUAAACAAUAUCGACAAAUAAUUAAUUUUGUACUAACCAGUUACCGACUCCAUUAGUGACCUGUAAUUAAUUUUAAAGUUUUCUAAUUUUUACAAAACACAAUAUUAUUGAUUAUUAAACUUUAAUUUACCAUAAUGGGGAAAGGAGUGAGGGAUAUUCUCCGAACUAGAAUCUGAAACACUAUACUUUUCACUACGCCUCUUGGUGGUUCUCGGGUUUUAUAAAUUUUUCUUGUGAAAAUAAAAAAUACGCGUCACAUAUUCAAAAAUACCCCAAAAAAGGCCAAAAUAAGUGUUUUUGAAAAUUUUCGGCUAAUUUAGGGUUCCAGCACAGCGCCGCCGCUGUGCUUGGGCGCCGGCUUCGCCGUCCACGGCGGUGGUUCCACUUGGCCAGGCUAUUUUUGGCAGAUUUUGACUGAUUUUGUAUGAAAACCUGUGAAAAACAAAGUUAUGAGGGCCUCUAUUGGCCGGAAAAGGGAAAAACCGAGACCCUACCGGCGAAAGGGCCUUUGGGUGCGGCGACUCUACCGUUCCUCCUUUGCGAUCAGGGUGUUUCUUCUACUAACCUGCACCAUAAGGAAAUGAGGAUCACGAUGGUAAGAAAAUCGAGGAAAACAGAAAAUGGAAAGGGGUUUAUCGGAGGAGUUUUCGGGUUUCAACUGCAGCAGCUCAGCCAAGCUCCGCCUGUGUUUUCUGGCUCACCAUCAACCUUUCAGCUCCGAUAUAGGCAUAGGGAGGUUCGAGAUUAAAUUCCAAGAGAAAAAGAGGAAACUUUUACCUUUUUGGCAUCGACAGUGACUCUAGUGCGGUAGCAACAGUGGCUGGUCUCCUUCUCUAGUGUUUGAUUCACUUCCCGGCUAACCCUCUUCUUCUUCUCCGAUCACUUUUCUGUCGGUUAGCGUUUUAGUUCCCUAUGAAGGAGAGUUUAAAUACUCAUCUUCAUAGAUUUGGGCCGCUCGUUCGAGGUGACGUGGCCCAUCCGCAGUCAUUGGAUUUCUCUUAUUUGAAGAAUUAAUUUGGACCACACGAUUUGAUUAAAUCCAAUCGUUCAAUCGCGCUUGAAGAGGAAACGCAUCUAGGUCGUCUGUGCGCGUGGGAUGCAAUCUGAGCCGUUAGAUCCACUGACAUGCAGAUCGCCCGCGUGGAACCGAUGUCAGCGUGUCCACCACGCGAUAUGUUCUAACUCGCUGUUACUGCUGACGUGGCUGUAUUUUAUAUUUUUGUAAUUUAACCCCCUGUUUUAAAUUUCUCUUUCAAACACAUCCCUUUUAUUUACAGUUUCAUCUCAUUUUUUCAAAAUUAAUUUCAAACUCAUCCCUAAAUCCAUAUUAUCCAUAAAAUUUCAUAACAAUAAAAUUAUUUUUAAUACAUUUUUUCAUUAAUAUCAAAUUAUCCCAGACCAAAUUUUAGAUAUGGGUGUUACAACUCUCCCCCUUAAGAAAAAUUUAGUCCCUCAAAUUUGCCGCCCCCUCUCUAGUCAAAUAGUUAGGGGUACUGGGCUUUGAAGUUCGAUUCUAUCUCCUAAGUGGCCUCGUCCUUCGCGUGAUUCUACCAUAAGACCUUGACGAAAGAAAUUUCUCUAUUACGAAAUAUUCUGCUCUUUCAAUACUAAAUACCUACUAGUACCUCAUAUGAUAAAUCCUCCAAGAGUGAAAGUGAUUCAUGAAACAGGAUAUGCGAGGGGUCUGAGUUGUACUUGCAUAACAUAGGCACAUGGAAUACAUUAUGGACUCUAGAUAGCUUCGAAGGUAGUGCUAGUCUGUAGAUGGACAUACCAACCAUGUUUGGAUCUCAAACAAUCUAAUGAACUAGGGAAUUAAUUUUUUUCUCUUUCCAAAUCUGCUGAUACCCUUAAAGGGGGUAGACUUAAGAAACAUCUUAUUGGCCUUCUCAAAUUCUAAAUCUCUCAUUCAGGUGUCCGCAUAACUCUUCUACCUACUCUGAGCUGUAUAAAUUUCUUCCUGAUUCUAACUAUCUUAGUUGUGGUAUUCUCUACAAGGUCUAGCCUAAUUUUCUAUCAUUCACCUCUUCCCAACAGAUCGCGACCUAUAGGGACAGCCAUACAAUGCCAAUACUUGCUUAGUAACUAUUAUUGUAGGUGAAUUCUAUCAGAGGCAGGUGAUCGUCCCAAUACCCUCUGAAGUCCAAAACACAAGCUCUAAACAUAUCCUUUAGUGUACGAAUUAUUCGUUAUGACUGUGUAUCUAUUUGAGAGUAGAAUAUUGUACUGAGAGACAGUUUCGUUCCCAUUACUUGCUGAAAACUUGACCAAAAACGAGAAGUGAACCUGGAGUCUAUGUCAGAUACUACUGUCACCGGAACUUCAUGAGCCUGAUUAUCUCAUGGAUAUAAAUUUUUGCUAGUUUGUCUAAAAAGUCGGUUAUUCUGAUGGCAAGUAAAUGAGAAGACUUGAUGAGUCAAUCAACAAUUACCCAGAUGUCAUCAUGCCUCGAGUGUGCCUUAAACAACUUUGUUACAAAAUCCAUAGUGAUAUGUUUCUAUUUCUACUCCGGGAUUGGUAAAGGCUAAAGUAACCUGCUUGAGCGUUGAUAAUAUGCCUUAACUUGCUGACAUAUAAGGCACUUGGAGACGAAAUCGAUAAUUUUUUUUUAUUCCCAUAAUGGAAUCGCGUGUUUUGAUACAUCUUAAUACUUCCGGGAUACAUGGUGAAUUUUGAACUAUGGGCAUUUGUCAUAAUAUCCUUUUUUAGUUCAUUGUCAUCUGAGACACAUAUCCUAUCUUGGAACUUGAGCAACUCACCGGCAGAGACUCAGAAUUAUAGAUUUAUACCCUAUUCUGCAUCACUUCUGAGAGCUGCUAGGAUAGAAUCAAUCAAUUGAGCUUCCUUUAUUCUUUGAAUCAUUCGAGUUGAACAACUAUAUAGGCUAGACAUGUAGCAUUUUUUAAAUUCUAAAGUUGUAUCUGUUGUGUAGCCCCUAUUACCAUGCAUUCAGAAACCAUUAAGUGAGCCAACAUACCUGCAUUUUUUCUACUGAAUACAUCGGCUACCACAUUGCCAUUAUUUGGGUGAUACAAGAUCUUACAAUCGUAAUUCUUGAGAAGGUCUAUCCAAUGCCUCUAACGCAUGUUGAGAUAUUUAUGGGUGAAUAUAUACUUCAAGCUCUUAUGGUCUGUAUAAAUCUCAAAAGUCCCCAUGCAAGUAGUGACGCCAGGUUUUCAAGGUGUUGAUAAUAGCGGCAAGUUCUAACCCUAUGCAUUGAACUUGAUUUAAUGAAAAUAGUUAUAUAAAAAAUUCUAGAUAAAUAAAAUACAUUUCUAUGUUGAAUAUGAGGGGCUUCACCUUGUUUGCUUUAAUUAUGGUAUCUAUAGUCACAACAUUAAAACUUACUCGAUGCUUACUACUAGUGUCAUUUUAUUAGAUUUGGUUAUCAAUAACGUGUCAAUAGAUUUAUUAAUUAAGAGAUAAAAUUUUACGGCCUAUAAAAAGAAGACGAAGAAAUUAGGAGUCGAAUAUUUGCCUUUAGUUAUUAAUUUUAACAUAUUGUAAAUGAAUUCAAGUCCAAUUGAAUACUCAAUUAAAUUAAAUGUAAGUUAAAAAUUUACGAAGUUGUAUUAAAAAUAAGUUUAAUUUUGAUGACAAACUCAAUUAUUUGUCUUUGUAUUUUUAGCUAUAUUAAUAAAUAUCGUAGUUAACUCUUAUAUUGUGUUUAGUAUAAAAAUAUUUUAUUUGUAAGUUCUUAAAUUUUAGUUGCUCCAUGUUAUAAGAACACAAACACAUAGUGCAAUGUGUGCAAAUUAAAAGUAGUUUUCAAAAUCAAAUUUAUUCCAAAUUUUCUUUUUUUCUUUUUAAAUAUAAAUCCUCAAUUUAAAUUAAAGAAGCUAAUUAAAGAGAAAUAGUGGUUUUAUUUCCUUUUAAAAAGUUAUCCUAAAAAAUUUCUGACAUGCCAAACAUACCAUUGACAUUAUAAAACCCAACCUCCAUAACAAACACCACUCCAUGGCCAACAACACAUCAAGAAACGAUUCCAUCCAGGCCCAGCUGGUUAACGUAGUACUUGGCUUGGCGGCUUUAUUUAUUUUUAUUAUUUUUAUUUUUAUUAUUUAUUAUUUUUUUCUUUAAUUAAUAUCCAAACUACCCUCCCGCUUAAUCAUCUCUCCUCCAUUUCUCUUCUCCUUUCCCUGUCAAUCCGAACUCAUACAGGUAACAGUAAUUAUCAAUGGAUCCAUAGUGAUCGCCAUUGUUGUCUUCUCCGAAUGGGGCCUGUAUUCCGCGAAGGUACAUUCCGUUCUCUCCCUCUCUCAUAUUCUCCUUUAUGUUUCAUGUUAAUUGAUCAAUCUUCUGUUUGAUUGCUGAGAAUUUCUGAGAAAAAGAAAACGAUGAAUAAAAAGGCGUUGUGAUGUGGUCAAUUUGUAUCAUGCAUUGUUUCUUUGAUGGCAAUUAAAAAGAGGAUAAGAUCUGAAGGAUCUAAGCUGCAUUUUAUUAACAGUUCAAUAGAUUUGUAAUGCGAAUUAUUCUGAAAACAUGGUGAAUGGGGAAAAGGGGCCGAGAUGGAUCUGGAGAAGGGGCUGGUGGUGGCGGCCAACAGCCCCAACGCUAUUGCGGACCAAUCGCCGAUGCCAUCUCCUACGGCGGCGUCAACGCCGAGGAAGACCCUGGUUCUAUCGAAUUCCGGCAAGGCUCUGGUUGUAUCCAACUCUAGUAAGUCCCUUGGAGGGUCCAACUCCGGCAAGCGGAUCGAUCAGGUCGGGAAGAAGAAGUACGUGAAGCAGGUUACUGGCCGCCAUAAUGACACCGAGCUCCAUUUGGCUGCCAAGCGCGGGGAUUUGGACGCCGUUAGACAGAUCCUCAGUGACAUUGAUGCUCAGAUGACGGGCACUCUAAGUGGGGCUGAUUUUGAUGCAGAGGUGGAUUUUCUUCCUUAUACUUGUUUCUUAUUUUCUCUAUGUUCAAUCUCAAGGUUGAGAAAAAAAAAACGCAGACGUUGAUAUUUUUAUUAUUCAUGAGUAUGUGUUGAUUGAAAGGUGGCGGAGAUAAUGUUAGCGGUCGUGAACGAGGUGAAUGAGUUGGGGGAGACGGCGCUGUUUACCGCCGCAGAGAAGGGGCAUUUAGGUGUUGUGAAGGAAUUGUUACAAUACACGCCUAAGGAGGCUAUUAAAUUGAAGAAUCAAUCUGGGUUUGACCCGUUGCAUAUUGCUGUCAGUCAAGGGCACCUUGGUAAUGUCGCUUUUCUGUUGCAUAUCAUAGUUUCUUCUCUUUGCCCCAUCCAACAUUGCAUGGAAUAUCUACCUGACUUGUUUCACAUUCUCUUUUCUGUUCAAAUGUCGCUUGAAUUAUCCUCUCAGAAAUGAUUUAAGGAAGUUAUGAAUCUUAAUUCUAGAGAAGGUUCAACGAAUAUAGUGAAGAACAUUUGUAAGGUCUAAACUGUUUUAGAUAUCAGCACCUGUAUUUACAUUCUUCUUAUGCUAUUUAUUUGAAGUCAAGAUAGACAUGUAGAGCAAUUGCACAAGAAACUACUUUGAAGCAUGCUGUUGCUUAAGCAUGUGAAAGGAAAAUUAUCAUGCUAGUUCUAUAGGCUACAAGUGGAGGAAAGGAAGCUACUAAAAGUGCUUUCUGUUUGACUUCUUUUUGUUCUUAAGAAGAAACUAGUGCACAAAACUCAAGUCAAAAGAUAACUUUAUGCAGCUAUUGUCCAGGAGCUACUCAACCAUGAUCCAGAGCUAAGUAAAACAGUUGGUCAAUCGAAUUCAACUCCUCUUACAACUGCAGCUACAAGAGGCCACACAGAAAUAGUCAUGGAGUUGCUCUUUAGAGAUUCUAGCUUGCUAGAAAUUUCAAGAUCCAAUGGCAAGAANNNNNNNNNNNNNNNNNNNNNNNNNNNNNNNNNNNNNNNNNNNNNNNNNNNNNNNNNNNNNNNNNNNNNNNNNNNNNNNNNNNNNNNNNNNNNNNNNNNNNNNNNNNNNNNNNNNNNNNNNNNNNNNNNNNNNNNNNNNNNNNNNNNNNNNNNNNNNNNNNNNNNNNNNNNNNNNNNNNNNNNNNNNNNNNNNNNNNNNNNNNNNNNNNNNNNNNNNNNNNNNNNNNNNNNNNNNNNNNNNNNNNNNNNNNNNNNNNNNNNNNNNNNNNNNNNNNNNNNNNNNNNNNNNNNNNNNNNNNNNNNNNNNNNNNNNNNNNNNNNNNNNNNNNNNNNNNNNNNNNNNNNNNNNNNNNNNNNNNNNNNNNNNNNNNNNNNNNNNNNNNNAAAUGAUUAAAAUCUAGCAAGCAUUUUUUUCCUGCAGAUAGUGAAUGAGUUGUUACUCCUCCCUGAUACUAACGUGAAUGCACUAACAAGAGAUCACAAAACAGCCCUUGACAUAGCUGAAGGACUCACCCUGUCUGAGGAAACCUCAGAGAUAAGAGAUAGCUUGGCCCGUUGUGGUGCUUUAAGAGCAAAUGAACUUAACCAGCCACGGGAUGAGCUUAGGAACACUGUGACACAGAUAAAAAAAGAUGUCCAUAUACAGCUGGAACAAACUCGCAAAACCAACAAGAAUGUAGAUGGGAUUGCCAAGGAGCUCCGAAAGCUGCAUAGAGCAGGAAUCAACAACGCCACCAACUCUGUCACAGUUGUUGCUGUGCUUUUUGCAACAGUUGCAUUUGCAGCUCUUUUCACAGUUCCUGGUGGUGAUGAUGACAAUGGGAUAGCUGUGAUGGUGAGCACACCUGCAUUUAAGAUCUUUUUUAUCUUUAAUGCAAUAGCACUUUUCACUUCUUUGGCUGUUGUUGUGGUACAAAUCACUCUUGUCAGAGGAGAGACAAAAUCUGAGAGGAGGGUUGUGGAGGUAAUCAACAAGUUGAUGUGGUUGGCAUCCGUAUGCACCACAGUUGCAUUCAUUUCUUCAUCAUAUAUUGUGGUUGGUCGGCAUAAUCAAUGGGCUGCAGUUAUUGUUACUGUCACUGGGGCAGUUAUCAUGUCAGGAGUCCUGGGUGCCAUGACUUUCUACGUUGUGAAGUCCAAGCGGACUAGGAAAGAGCGGAAGAAAGAAAAGAAAGAGAAGUAUUCUAGGAAUGCAGCAAACUCAUGGCGCGUGACAAAUCCUUCAGAAACUGAAUCAGAAGUAAACCCAAUUUACGCCAUCUGAUGUUGACUUCGACUCUAUGAUCUUUUUUUGUACCUCAUCUGGCUUUUAAUUAGAAAUUGAAGCAGGAAAGAGUUCAGUUCACGCUCCAACUUCCAAGGGGUCUCAUUCCAUAUAUACAAAAUCUGGAGUCAAGCAAUACCGAUACUAGUUUACAUCUUCGGAAAGUUUCCAGGGGAUGAGUAUACAACAUUCUUCUUCACAGGCCUCAGAUGAAAUAUUGCCGGGAUGGUUGUAUGGUAUGUACGUACAUGCUGAUCUAAAGUGUGAUUUAUUUAGGUUUCUGACAGGUGGUACUCUCUCAAAACCUUGAGAAUAUAUAGAAAUUUUGAAUAUAUGAAUCCAUUUUGCUUGAAACUGUAAGCAAAUGGGAUGAAUUUAACUUUGAAAGCGUACCCUUCUAUUAAGAAAUGGGGAGCAGUAUAUUUUGCACAUAAAAAUUUAGUUGUAUUUUAUCUUAGACAUAAAUAUCAGGUAGUGUAGCAACUAGCAAAUAAUCAUCAGGUGAACAUUUAUUUGAAUAAUUUACUACACUUUUUUAAGAAAAUAUUCUUUUGAAUUUAAUAAUUUACAUGCUUAUGAAUGACAUACUCGUGCAAUGCUGCAGGAUAAUAGUAAAAAUAUGUGUUCUAAAAACAUAAAAAAAUAAAAGAUCAAUUUUAUUAUAUUUUUAAAAUUAAUAAAUAUGUUAAAAUAAAUAAUCAUGGUAUUCAAAUACCUUCACAGUUUUUAUACGUGCCAGAACUGCUUAACUAAAUAAUUUAUUUAAAUUAAAAAUGUUCUCAGUUUUUUUAGUUAAAAAUCAUAUUAAACUCAAAACUGUGUAAUUAAAAAUCCAAAUACUUAUUUAAUUAAAAAAAUGUAUUAAAAUAAAAAGGUUUAUUAAAAAUUUAACUAAAAUUAAAAUCGUCUAAUAAAAAACUACAUUAAAAUUUUGUUUUUGCAAGUGUGAAAAAGAAACGUUGUCGUAUGUAUGACUUUUUCGGGAGUUCCAAAAUCCCGCAAUCUUCCCCCCUUUAACGAUGGUAUCGUCGUGGGCCCGCUUUUUGUGCGGCCGCCUUGACUGUCCGUUCCUGCUUUUCAAGUCAACGACCUUCCGUCUGUUCUUUUCUUUCUCCGUUAAAAACGUCACGUCACCAAACUUAGAAGGGCUUACUUUUACAUUUUAUAUAUCUUUAAUGAGAUUAUAAUCUUUAUGUUUCAUUGGUAAUUAAAUAUAAAACUAAAAUAUUUUUUUAAAUUUUUAUUUAUUUAUUCUUACUUUAUUUUAAAUAUUGAAUAUGACCUUUUAAAAUAUUAGUUAAAGUAAACGAUGUGUAGUUAAAAUAUAGUGGCCUGUUAACUUCCUAUUUUGAUAGGAAAAAAAUCGAAUUUAUUAUUUUUUUAUAAAAAAAGUAAAUAAAUAAUAUUUUAUUCAUAAAAAAGUAAAUUAUUUUUUAAAAAUUUAUAUAUUUCAAUAAUGACAAAAACGACAACAUCUGGCAUGCGUUUCCUGGUCCCUCCUUCCUUCCUCUCCUCGCCCGCGCAACGACGCUUGCGCCACUAACCUUGAACACCACUUGACAGGUGCCAGUAACUCUAUACCUCUUUCCUCUAUCCUCUCCAAUUUUCUUCCCUCACGCCAGAUUUCUUGGCUUCAACUUGAAUUUACAUGCCAGAGAGGUUUACUCCCUCUACUGUAGGUCGGAAAAUGUUUAGUCCAUCCCCGUUUGACAGUCGUCAAGUAGGAUCUCCUUUCAAUCAAAUUGAGGAUUGUUCUUUGUGUUCUUCAUCCCGUUGUGUUGGCGACCCUGCAUAUUGGUAAAUAUGUAUAUGUAUAUAUAUCUAUUUUAGUGUAUCUGGUUUUUGUUUGAAUAAUUUUUUGUUUUCUGCCGCAUAUGUGGGUAAACCUCAUGCACCCAGCAAGUCUUGUAGUUUCGCCAGAUUUUGGAAGUAUGUAAAUGUAAAUGUUUCAAAUUGUUUGACGGGAGACUUUUGAGAAUUCACGUCCCUUAUUUGUUUUUGGCCAUUUAUUUAUUUAGUUUUUGUUCUUUUUCGCGGAGAUGUUGAUAGUGAUAAUUGAUGAAGAAAGAGUUUAUAUAAUAAUGGUUGAUGAUGAAACAAGUUGACCUAAUUUAAUGCUAAAAUUUUGAUUGCAGAAUUUGUCGAGAGUCGGGAUAUGGAUAUGGGGGAAUUACUCUUUCACCCUCCCCACGUGCAUAUCCCUGCAAACAUCUGAAUUAUGCCCUCUCUCAUCAAAUUUUUUAUAUUGAUUUUCUGGCUGCCAUUGGAUAUGCUUUCAAUUGGGUCUCUCAUAACUACUUGAUUCUCUUUUGGUUUUUGGGUUACUAUGGAUGUGGUUGAUCUGGGUCAAUCAUGAAUUCUUGAUACUCUUAACUGUAUAGAACCAAGAGGAGAAGAUUUGUUUUUCUCUUUUUGAUUUCAAGUUGGGAAUUGAAUCAAUGGAGGUUCCGGUAAGGCAACAGAUUUUUCGACAGAAGAAGAUGACAAAACAGUUGACCGCGAAACGGGAUGACACGCCCUUGCAUUCAGCUGUGAGAGAAGGGAAUUUGGGUUUGGUUUUGGAAAUCAUGGGCGAGAUUGAGGGCACAGAAUUGAAGGGUCUGCUGGCUAAACAGAACCAAUUUGGUGAAACUGCAUUGUAUGUUGCUGCUGAAUGUGGUUAUGGUGACUUGGUGAAAGAAAUGAUGAAGUAUUAUGAUGCUAGCUUGGCUGGUAUCAAGGCGAGGAAUGGAUAUGAUGCUUUUCACAUUGCUGCUAAGCAAGGAGACUUAAGUAAGUCUUCUUUUCUUAAGUUAUAUUUUCAUUUUGACAUGUUAUAAAGUCAAAGAUUUUGAUAAACUUCUCUGGUUUCAGAAUCAAUUUGCUGUUUUGAUUUGUGAAGAGAACAAUUUGUCACGUUUAAGCAUGUUAACUUAUUGGAAAUAUAGUUGGACUUGGGAGUUUGGAAUUUGUGGAAUUGGUGCACAAGAUACCAUUUUCUUCGUUGAGUAGUAUAAUUUAUUAUUUAAGUAUUUUAAUUAUUAGUUGAUAUUAUCUAAUUAAAUUUUAUUAGAAUAGUAAUUUUAUGUAAUUAGGAUUAUAGUAAAAUAGUUAUUUCCUAAUUAGUAGUUUAAAAAUUCUAUAAAUACCCAGAUGUCACAACCUAAAAGGUGAGAAUAAAAAUAUAUUUUUUCUUCAAAUUCUAUAUAAUAUCAGAGCAUAAUAAAGAUAUUUUGAGAUUUCUUAUAAUCUUAAAACAACAAAAGGAAGCUGAGGAGAAAGAGAGCUAGACUAGGGGGAAGAGAGGAAAGAUCAGAGGAAGGGAGAAGGCAGUCGGAUCCUUCCUCUACCAUGCACAGAGCCGCGCAAAGAGUGAGCCGGUUUUUUCCUCCACCAUGCGCAGAGCCAUGCGGCCCAGUUUCUUCUUCCACCGCGCGCAGAGAUGCAAAGAUGCUCUCAAUUUUCUGCUUCUUCAGCCGUGCCCAGAGUCGCGUAGGGCACCGAGGUUUCUUUCUUCUUUAGCAGCAUGCAGAGCCGCACGACAACCUUUGGUUUCUUCUUCCUCUGCGCGCAGAGACGCACGAUUUACCUCACUCCAAUCGUACGAAGCCUCUAGCCGCAACUUAUUGGCCUUCUACCAGGCACAAGUUUUCCCCUUCGCCACACGCAGAGCCGUGCGCGAGGAAUUUUUCUAGUCAGCUGUAUUGAGCCGAUCUGAGCUGUUGAGCUGAACUGAUUUCAGCCUGAGCCGAGCCACCUGCACCAAGCCGAGUCGAGUUGUUUUCCGAGCUGAGCAGUUUUUGAACCGAGCUGUUUUUUAGCCGAGCUUUUUUUUCAAGCCGAGCUGAGUCGAGACAGACAGAUCUAAUUUCAGUAUUUUCUGACUUUUUUUAUUAUUUCGGUGCAAACUAUAAGGUCUGUUUUUAUUAUUGGGUAUUUUUCUUCUUAUCUUUAGCACCCUAAAAUGAUAAAAGCAAAAAAGGUGAUGGUUUCUUAUUCGGAUAAUCCUUCAUUGCAAAUCAGUUCUGUAAAACUUGAUGGAACUAAUUAUUUUAUUUGGAUAAGAUCUUAUGCAUUGUUUAUCAAGGUUAAAGGAUUGCAAAGGUAAAUUACAAGUGAUAUGAAAAAACCAGAAGUAGAUAGUUUAUAAUAUAAUAGAUGAGACUCUGAAAAUUCUUUGGUCUCUUGGCUAAUCAAUUCCAUGCAAGCACAUAUUGUACGAACAUCUUUGUUACUCGAUACUGUAGAAAAAAAUAUGGAAUGCGACAUCUCUUACAUAUUCACGAGUGAGUAAUAAUGAGAGAUGACUAUUUCACAAUAUUUUUUUGAACUGAGUAGAUUAUGAUAGGAAUUAGAUUACUAUCAAGAUCUUCAAGUAGAUUAUCCUGCAGAUAUAGUUAAAUUUCAGAAAUUGAUAAAAAAAGAGCGAAUUUAUGAUUUUUUAGCUUGUUUGAACAUCGAAUAUGAUCAAAUACGGAUCCAGGUGCUUAAGCGGUAAGGAUCCUUUUCCUUCAUUAGAACAAAUUUAUNNNNNNNNNNNNNNNNNNNNNNNNNNNNNNNNNNNNNNNNNNNNNNNNNNNNNNNNNNNNNNNNNNNNNNNNNNNNNNNNNNNNNNNNNNNNNNNNNNNNNNNNNNNNNNNNNNNNNNNNNNNNNNNNNNNNNNNNNNNNNNNNNNNNNNNNNNNNNNNNNNNNNNNNNNNNNNNNNNNNNNNNNNNNNNNNNNNNNNNNNNNNNNNNNNNNNNNNNNNNNNNNNNNNNNNNNNNNNNNNNNNNNNNNNNNNNNNNNNNNNNAGAAUUGUAUUAGAAUAAUAAUCUUAUGUAAUUAGAAUUUUAGUAGAAUAGUUAUUUUCUGAUUAGUAGUUUAAGAAUUUUAUAAAUACGUAGGUGUUAUAACCUAAAUGGUGAGAAUAAAAAUAUAUUUUUUCUCCAAAUUCUACAGUUCCACAGUUACGCGUUGAUGCUAUAUCAAUUUCUAUGAAUAGAAAAUUUAAUUGACCAAUAGAUUCCGAAGAUUGACUUUUCUGAAGCUUUUAAUGGAACCAUAAUACCAAAUCAAUGUAUAUCUGUUGUACAAGGCAAUUUCUCCUUGGUGCACUAUGUUAAUUAUAGUAAAAAUUGAAAAGUGUAAUCAGUGUUAUUGAUGGUAGUGUUUUUGGACAAUUUUCAAAUUUCUAUUAAAUCCCUAGUUCUAGUUGCCAAGUUUUCUAUUUGUUAUUUGUAGGUCAAAAAUCAUUUUUGGGAUUCAACUUCUUUCUUAUUCUGGUUAACUUUCUGCUGCAGAGUUGCUGAAGAUUUUCAUUGAGGCUGAUCUUGAACUUUCAGUGACUUUUGAUUCUACAAACACGACGGCACUUCACACAGCUGCCUCUCAGGGUCAUGUAGAAGUAGUGAAUUUCCUUUUGGAUAAAGUGAGCAGCUUGGCUGCCAUUGCUAGAAGCAAUGGCAAAACUGCCUUGCAUUCUGCAGCAAGGAAUGGGCACUUAGAGAUAGUCAAGGCUCUCACGAGUAAAGAACUUGGGAUUGCAACUAGGGUUGACAAGAAGGGCCAGACAGCACUUCACAUGGCAGUUAAAGGACAGAAUGUAGCAGUUGUAGAUGAACUGAUGAAUUCAGAUGAUUCCUUGAUAAACAUGGUUGAUGCAAAAGGGAAUACUGCAUUGCAUAUAGCCACCCGUAAGGGUCGGGUUCAGGUGAUUAAAGCUAUCAUUACUGCCAUAUUUUAGCUUUAACUUUAUUUAUGGAAUGUGGUUGCUCCAGUUGUCAUUGCAAGGUGAUGAACUAGUCCUUGAUUUACUUGUUAUCUGUGAGAUUGAGCAUCAUAACAACAUAUAUGUCCUAUUUGGUUCAAUUUCCAUUUCGUUUCCAAUCCUAAUUUUUCUAUACCUCUUAGCUUAUAGAAUUAGAUCAUGUUUUAUGUUUGAUUUCACACCUCAUCCCCACCUUGAAUAUUUUAGGAGUGAGAAUUCAGUUUCCACUUGAAAAUUUUGUAGGGAAGAUUCUCACCCUUAAAGAAUUCAGGUGAGAGUAUGGGGUGAGAGUAAACAUGUAAAUCAUUUUCUAAUUUAAUAUGUCGAUACUAACCUGAAGACUACUGAUAAAAAUUUAAGUGAUAAUGGAAUGAGAAUUAAAAAGAAAUGCAACCAUAGUGUCUUCCUUUGGUUUGGUUUGACAAAACAAAGAUUUGGUUUUGAAAAGGCUUAUUUACAGAAAUAUCAUUUAAAAUUGAUUCCAGGGAUUAAUUAGGUUCGUGGCUGUUAGCUCUUUCUUAUUUAUAAUAAAAGGUCUUCUUGCAGAUUGCUCAAAAGCUGCUAGAGCAUAGUGGCCUCAACCCAAUAGUCAUUAACAAAUCUGGGGAAACUGCUCUUGACACUGCCGAGAAAGCUGGGCAGUCCCUGGUAGCAGUUAUCUUACAAGAACAUGGGGUCAAGUGUGCCAACUUCAUCAAGCCACAAACAAAAGACACAGCUCGAGAACUGAAACAAACUGUAAGUGACAUAAAACAUGAGGUUCAUUACCAGCUGGAGCACACACGUCAAACACGAAAACAUGUGCGGGGUAUAGCUAAAAGACUCAGCAAAAUACAUGUAGAAGGGCUUAACAAUGCAAUCAGCUCCACCACAGUUGUUGCUGUUCUCAUAGCUACUAUAGCAUUUGCUGCCAUCUUCAGUGUUCCUGGUCAAUACUUUGAUAGCCCAAAAAAUCUUGCUCCUGGAUUUGUCCUUGGAGAAGCACGUAUUGCUCAGAGACCCGAAUUUUUGGUCUUCAUUAUAUUUGACGCAUUUGCACUUUUCAUAUCAUUGGCUGUUGUAGUGGUGCAAACAUCGGUUGUAGUUAUUGAGAGAAAGGCUAAAAAGCAGAUGAUGGCAGUCAUUAACAAGCUGAUGUGGCUGGCCUGCGUGAUGAUUUCAGUUGCAUUCCUUGCACUGUCAUAUAUAGUCGUGGGAGAUAGAGAGAGAUGGUUAGCAGUUAGCAUAACAGUUGUAGGGGCUGUGAUCAUGUUGUCAACAUUGGGGACUAUGUGUUAUUGGGUGAUCAUAAAUCGUAUCGAGGUUGGCAGAUUACGUAGUAUACGGAGGUCAUCAAUGAGCAGGUCAUGCUCACCAAUUUCAGUGUCGGAAUCAGAGAUCUUGACCAAUAAACUCUAUGCAGUUUGACAUUUGAUAUACUGCAUGCUAUUGACCAUAGUUGUCUCCUUGCUCUCCUCGACACAAGUAACGUAAAUCUCAAGCCUAUUACUUCUCAUUUGUGAAUAUUAUAUACCUGAUGUAACAUAAUUUUCAGCCUAUUGUCUAUUGCUUCUCACUGAAAUUCACAAGAGAAUCAUAUUAUUGUUAUUCACCUUAUUUUAACUUGAAAGAUUGACCAACCUUGUUCAUGUCAAUCUUGCUUGUUACUUAAAAUAUUGGCCAUCCAUACUUGUACUAGAGGGAUUACUGUUUAGUGAUUAGAUGAAACUUUUAGACAGAUCUUGUUGGAUUUCACACACUGAAAUAAUCCUACUUGGUUUUGUACUUUCAAUUAGUUUUAUUUUCCAGGUGUUCUUCAUCUAUGGAUUUAACUAGCUUGCAUCAUUUGCAAAAUUUUUCAUUGUUAAUUCUUUAAAAGAUAAUUUGUCAAAUUAGUUAUUAAAAUUUGAUUCUUGUUAUAAUUUAAUUUUUAAUAUUUUUUAUUAUAUUAUGAUCUUUUAAUGUUCUUAAUUCGUUUAAAGUAUUUAUUUUUAUUUUAUUUUAUUUUCUAACGGAGUAAAUUAAAAUAAUUUUCAUUAUAUUUGCAUAUUUUAAAGAAUAGACUAAAGAAUAACUUUGUUUAUACUUUUUUUUUUUACUCUUCCUUUUGUUGUUUCUUUUUUUUAUUUUUUAAUCAUUUUUAUUUUUUUUCAAAAGGCUAAAAAUAAUAAUAAUAAUAAUAAUAUAAAUUAUAAAAAAAUUACACAAUUUUUUAUAAAUUAUAAAAAAAGACAAAUAAGGAUACAAAUGUUUUU
rnacentral:lncRNA from 1 species